AAGGAAAGGUCUGACGGGAGCACGCCGCGUGAGUGAUGAAGGUUUUCGGAUCGUAAAGCUCUGUUGUUAGGGAAGAACAAGUGCCGUUCAAAUAGGGCGGCACCUUGACGGUACCUAACCAGAAAGCCACGGCUAACUACGUGCCAGCAGCCGCGGUAAUACGUAGGUGGCAAGCGUUGUCCGGAAUUAUUGGGCGUAAAGGGCUCGCAGGCGGUUUCUUAAGUCUGAUGUGAAAGCCCCCGGCUCAACCGGGGAGGGUCAUUGGAAACUGGGGAACUUGAGUGCAGAAGAGGAGAGUGGAAUUCCACGUGUAGCGGUGAAAUGCGUAGAGAUGUGGAGGAACACCAGUGGCGAAGGCGACUCUCUGGUCUGUAACUGACGCUGAGGAGCGAAAGCGUGGGGAGCGAACAGGAUUAGAUACCCUGGUAGUCCACGCCGUAAACAAUGAGUGCUAAGUGUUAGGGGGUUUCCGCCCCUUAUUGCUGCAGCUAAGGAAAUAAGCACUCCGCCGGGGGAGAGA
rnacentral:rRNA from 1 species